GGGGGAUCAGCUCAGAUGGCAGAGCGCUCGCUUAGCGUGCGAGAGGCAGGGGGAUGGAUACCCCCAUUCUCCA